GAUGAACGCUGGCGGCGUGCCUAAUACAUCCAUGUCGAGCGCAUGGAUUAAGAGCUUGCUCUUAUGAAGUGAGCGGCGGACGGGUGAGUCACACGUGGGUAACCUGCCUAUACGACUGGUACAACUCCGGGAAACUGGCACUGAUACCGGAUAAUAUUUGGAACUGCCUGGUUCAAGAUAGAAAGUCAGCUUUUAAAGUAAAUGAUGAAUGGAACCGCGUCCCAUUAGCUCGUUGGUGAGGUAACGGCUGACCAAGGCAACGAUGCGUAGCCGACCUGAGAGGGUGAUCGGCCACACUGGGACUGAGACACGGCCCAGACUCCUACGGGAGGCAGCAGUAGGGAAUCUUCCGCAAUGGACGAAAGUCUGACGGAGCAACGCCGCGUGAGUGAUGAAGGCUUUCGGGUCGUAAAACUCUGUUGUUAGGGAAGAACAAGUGCUAGUUGAAUAAGCUGGCACCUUGACGGUACCUGCAGAAAAAGCACCGGCUAACUACGUGCCAGCCGCCGCCGUAA
rnacentral:rRNA from 1 species